GUCAGUUGGUUGCCCAGGUCCCAUUUAGGUUAACGAAUUCAUCGAGAAGCAAAUGAGGGGAGACUGUGGGAAAAGGGACAAAGGAAAGAAAUUGAAAUUAAAGCGGAAAGGUGAUGGAGGUAAGAUGGGUGCUCGCAGGUAAGCAGCAGCGUGGAUGGGUGAGGGGAGAAGAGUCAAAAGAGGAAACCAUUCACAAUGGGAGAGUAGGAAAAUGAAGUGGGAUGGGGUUAAGGGCAGCAGGUAGAGUAGAGGGAAAGCUCAGCCUCUUUCUUUCUGCUCCAAGGUGGGAGCACCAGCAGGGAGAGCUGCCGUUCAUCAAAACCCUUUAGCAUAACCCUAGAAACCACCAGUCUCUCCUUGCCCUUAAUCUGUUUUAUUGGGGCAUGUUUCCUCCUUUUCCUUUUUUUUUUUUUUUUUGGAAAAAAAAAUAGCAAUUAGCAAUAACCUUGCUUGCAACUUGCAGAUCUUUAGAAGCUCAGGUGGAGGCAAGGGCAGCACUGGUGUGCUGGGUGAGGUGCUGAGCAGAUGUGUUAGCCCCGAGUCCUGUCCCUGCCAAACUCUUGUAGGUGCUGCCUAAUCCUGAUCACUCACUGGGCUUUGCUGCCCUGCAGCUGCAGUGCCAGUGCCGACAGCCACCGAAAUAGUGGGGAAGAAGAGACAGACGAAUGCCAGCUGCAGAAAAAGUGUGCAGCUAAACACGAGGGCAUUGUGCAAAACAAGGAGCAGGGAAAGCUGAGGCAUGGAGAAGACAAGUGAGAGCUGAGGAUCGAUGUGUCACAGACACCAGGUUGCCAUUGAGCUGCUCCCUCGAUGCACACUCAUCAAAAUGCCACUCCAUAAAGGGGAUGAUUUUGGGCCUUCCACUUCUCUCUGACUGGUAAGCUGCUAAAUGCCAGGAGGCUCCAGAUGCACGACCAUAUCCCUCUUCCCUAGAGCAUGGACAACACACCCAAUCCUGCAUCUGGGCUGGGGGAAAAUAAAUAAAUAAAUAACAUAAAGCGGAGAUGGAUGAGCAAUAGGGUUAAUAAAUAAAUAAAAUAAAUUGGAUGAGCAAUAGGGUUAAGAGAUUUGUAUUUGACAAUACAGCGAAAAUACAGUAUUUGACUGUUGCUUCUUCCCCUGUUGCCAUAUUUCAAGGAUCUCCAAGAUUUUUUUCCAGCUCUCAACCAAGUUCUCCUCAGAUGCAGCUUCACACUACAGUUUCUGCUGCAUGGUCCCAGAGUGGUCCCUUAAGGUUGCUCUCGCUGCAUGUUUGUGCUCCUGUUCAUCCUUGUGCAGGUCCAGAGCUUUACGCUGGGGCUUUCUGUCUUAUAUAUAGGUCUUUUGGGGGCUUCAUCUUUACCCAUUGAAACUAUAAGAUCUGAAAUAAAGCUAAUAAUUUGGGAGGUGAGUCCUUCUUCUCCCACUGCUGCUCAGUAUAUUCAUGCAAUAGAUGCACCAAGCCUCCCUACGCAUCUGCUAUCCUGUCCGUGGCCGGGUGCUUUUAGAGCCUUUUAUCUCCACGAUCUGCUCUUCUUUUUUUCUCUCAUCUGCUGGAUGGAGGUAAUGAAGAUUUAAGUACGACGUGCAAACCCAUCUGUCCUGGCAGAGCGGCUGGAGCUGUGCAGAGCUGAGGAUCUUUGUGAGCAGCUCCAUGGGUGGUUCCGCCUGGGGCCAAAUGGAUUCCAUAUGCGAGGUCAUCUGUCAUGCAGAAGGCACCGUCCUUCUCUCUGAGAAAUCCUUUUCCUCUCCUGAAAUACAUCUCUUCAUGCAGGUGAUUCCAGUGCCCAGAUACCUUUGAGGAACCUCAUCUUGGGUGAGUGGAUAAUAGCAGAAUCCUUACACGGGUAAUGACUGCAAAUGGUGUUCCUGCAAGAGAAGAAAAGUUGGAGGUAACAGCCGAAGAACAGCGAGGCAAGCUCUAGGAAAUAAGAUAAAGAAAAAAGCAACUGAAUGCCUGAGGUCAUUGCUUUGUCUACAUCCGAGGCCAGAUCCUUGAGGUCUUACAUGCACGGCAAUGCUGAAAAAAAUGUGCAAUAUUCCCUAUCCACUGGGAAUGUAUUUCAGGUUCUGGCGACUGUCCGAGCAUGAGCUCAUGCCCUGAUUUAGGGCAGCCCAAGGAUCAGGCUCUGCCGUCUGUAGGUACCCUUCCCCGGCAGCAGCCAAAAAGGACACCUAAGGAAGAGGAUGAGAAUUGGACAGAGGUGUGAGGUACUUGUUUCAAAGUUUUCCGAAGCCACACAAGCUUUCGGUUCCCACCGCACGCUGUGGCAGGAAGUCCCAAAGUUUAACCACAGGUGUGAAGAGUCACUUCCUUCUGUUUGCUUUGAGCUUAUCCUCUCCUACUUUAACUUGCUACUUCCUUAUUCUUUUAUUGGAGAAAAACAAGGAAAAAUGAAGCUCUCAUCACCUUCUCCGUGAUAUUCAUGAUGCCGUAGAUUUCUCCUGGGCAUCUCUCAGAUUGAAGAGGUGGACCAGGUUGGUUCUUACAUAUAUUUGACGGUUGCAUUCUGCUAUCCUCCUUGUUACUCUCCUCUGAAUCCUUUUAGCUCUUUAAUUUCCCUUUUAAAUAAGAGGACAGGAGCUGCACAUAGGAUUCAAGCUCAAAGGGAUCCACAGGUAUAUGCAGCUGCACAACAACAAUCUUUAUCCCUUUCCUGACAGUUCCUAACAUUUAAUUUGCUUUAAUAACUGCUGCUAAAUAUUUAGCAGGCAUUUUCACAGAACAACUAGCACAGCCCCAUGUUCUCCCUCCUGGCUGGCAGUGCCCAACUCAGGGCCAUCACUUCACCAGUGAGUUGAGGGCUUCUUUCCCCUUGUGCAUCAUCCCAUUGCUCUGUCACUGAGAGCCAUCGAGUCCUUCUGCAGCUCUUCACAGCCUGUCCUCACCCUUGGCACUGGGAUUAGCGUGUCGUGAGUGGUUUGUCACUUCACUCUUCACUCCUUUCCAGCCGUGUAUGAGCGUGCUGAUCAGGGGACACCGCUGCUGAUCAGCCCGUACCAUGACACCCGACCGUGGGCCCCCCCUCUCUGUUUUCUAGGUUUUAAUCCUCGUUUUAUUCAUUCAGAGCCCUUCCCUUUUAUGCCUUGACAUUCCUUAAAAGCCUUUGAUGAGAGAUGCUGUCCGCAGACGUUAGGAAAUAAAAGCUGGUUAUAUCAACAGGAUAUCCUUUAUCCAGAGGCUUGUUGACACCUUCAGAGGACUCCAGUGGGCCCACAUGGCAGGACUUCCCUUUAUAAACACCAGGUUGACUCUUCCACAGCACGUCACAUUUAUCCAUUUGUCCACUACUUUGUUUUUUUAAUGCUAGUUCCUGUGAAGCAGCAGCACAGCACCAAUCUGCAAGCAGCUUCCCAUGCCGCUGGAAGACCUGAGACCUGGCGUUAAUCUAAAAGAAUCAUAAAAUCACAGAAUAGCCCGAGCUGGAAGGACCCACAAGGAUCAUCGAGUCCAACUCCUCGGUCCACAAAGAACCACC